rnacentral:rRNA from 1 species
UCGAGCGAGGUGUAUACACCUAGCGGCGGACGGGUGAGUAACACGUGGGUGACCUGCCUCAAAGUGGGGAAUAGCCUCUCGAAAGGGAGAUUAAUACCGCAUGAUAUACGCAUAUUUAACGACGCGUAUCAAAGGAGAAAUCCGCUUUGAGAUGGGCCCGCGGCGCAUUAGCUAGUUGGAGAGGUAACGGCUCACCAAGGCGACGAUGCGUAGCCGACCUGAGAGGGUGAUCGGCCACAUUGGAACUGAGACACGGUCCAGACUCCUACGGGAGGCAGCAGUGGGGAAUAUUGCACAAUGGGGGAAACCCUGAUGCAGCAACGCCGCGUGAACGAAGAAGGCCUUCGGGUCGUAAAGUUCUUUGAUUGGGGACGAUAAUGACGGUACCCAAAAAACAAGCCACGGCUAACUACGUGCCAGCAGCCGCGGUAAUACGUAGGUGGCGAGCGUUGUCCGGAUUUACUGGGCGUAAAGGAUGCGUAGGUGGAAAUUUAAGUGGGAUGUGAAAUCCCCGGGCUCAACCCGGGAACUGCAUUCCAAACUGGAUUUCUAGAGUGCAGGAGAGGAAAGCGGAAUUCCUAGUGUAGCGGUGAAAUGCGUAGAUAUUAGGAAGAACACCAGUGGCGAAGGCGGCUUUCUGGACUGUAACUGACACUGAGGCAUGAAAGCGUGGGGAGCAAACAGGAUUAGAUACCCUGGUAGUCCACGCCGUAAACGAUGGGUACUAGGUGUAGGGGGUAUCAACUCCCCCUGUGCCGUCGUUAACACAGUAAGUACCCCGCCUGGGGAGUACGGUCGCAAGAUUAAAACUCAAAGGAAUUGACGGGGGCCCGCACAAGCAGCGGAGCAUGUGGUUUAAUUCGAGGCAACGCGAAGAA